rnacentral:rRNA from 1 species
GACGAACGCUGGCGGCGUGCUUAACACAUGCAAGUCGAACGCUGAAGCUCAGCUUGCUGGGUGGAUGAGUGGCGAACGGGUGAGUAACACGUGAGUAACCUGCCCUCUUCUUUGGGAUAACGCCCGGAAACGGGUGCUAAUACUGGAUAUUCACUGAUUCUCGCAUGGGGGUUGGUGGAAAGGUUUUUUCUGGUGGGGGAUGGGCUCGCGGCCUAUCAGCUUGUUGGUGGGGUGAUGGCCUACCAAGGCUUUGACGGGUAGCCGGCCUGAGAGGGUGACCGGUAACAUGGGGACUGAGAGACGGCCCAGAAUACUACGGGAGGCAGCAGUGGGGAAUAUUGCACAAUGGGCGAAAGCCUGAUGCAGCGACGACGCGUGAGGGAUGGAGGCCUUCGGGUUGUAAACCUCUUUCGCUCAUGGUCAAGCCGCAGCGUUGGGUUGUGGUGAGGGUAGGGGGUAGAAGCGCCGGCUAACUACGUG